UGCACUUCCUCUUGCCACCUCAGACCUCAGAUUUUCUCUGUGAUUAGAAUACCUCAAAUCUGGCCACCUCUCUGGACAAGAACUUAUAGAAUGCUGCUCCUGCUGCCGGGCAUCCUGGUGGCCUCCCUGUGGACGUACACAAGCGGAGACAAUCUCAUAACACAACUUGUAACAUCCAUCACCAAGAAAAAAGGAAAUACAGCAUUUCUUGAAUGCCGAAUAAAACCCAAUACCUUUAAGAAGAAUGUAUGUGUACACUGGUACCACCAGAAGCCAGACCGGUUCCUAAAACGAAUUCUGUAUAUCUCCUCAAAUGAAAAUAUUGUCCAUGAACAAGGUUUUAGUGAGGAAAGAUAUGAAGCAAGGAAAUGGCAAAGUGACUUGUCCUCCAGCCUGAGAAUACACCGAGUCACGGAGGAGGAAGCAGGGAUGUAUUACUGCGCCUGCUGGGACACACUGUGUCAAAAUGCUCCACUGUAACUGAACAAAAAGGCCUCCCGAGCCCGUUACACCUGUGCAAACACACACACCGCCUCCUUUCUACCUCCCAGAGGCACCUGGCUGCUGGCUGCAGAGCGCCUUUCUCUGGUGUGUGUGUCCUGAGCAGUCUGAGCAGGAGCCCAAGAGCCCAAUGUCUGACGCUUCUUUCAGUGAGAAACUUUAUCAUCCAACCUCACCCUUCUGGAGACUGCACUGGCUUUUGGGCUGGUUUCUUAACUUUGAGUGAAUGAAAGAGUGCUGGAAAAUACAAGGCCUUUUGAGUGACAUAGACCUGGGUUUCGAAUUCCUGCUGGGAAUACUGACAGUGUGAUCUAGGAAAGUUCCUAAUGCUUUUUCAUUCUGUUUAUCCAGCUUCAAGUGGGGCUAACAUUAGCCACCUCAUAGAUUCACUGAGGUUUGAAUGAGUCUCCAUAUAUGAAAGUUUCUGACCUAGUGCUCAACAGAUCACUUCCUUUGUGUCCUUUCCCAUUAUGACUAAGUCACUGAGCUGU